rnacentral:rRNA from 1 species
CCGGCGAAUUUAAGCAUAUUACUAACCGGAGGAAAAAGAAACCAACAGGGACGUCCUCAGUAGCGGCGAGCGAAGCGGACGAUGCCCAAACCGAACCGCGGUUCCCGAGGGGGCCGCGGAGUGUGGAGAGGAUGAGCUCGCGAGGGGGCGGGACGGGUUCCAAUCCGUCUGGAAGGGCGGAGGCACGGAGGGCGAUUCCCCGUACGUGCUCGGUCCGUCCCCGACGAGCGAACGCAUCGGAGAGUCGGGCCGCUUGAGAGUGCAGCCCGAAUGGGGUGAUAGGUCUCAUCCAAGGCUAAGUACGUGGGAGACGCCGAUAGCGAACAAGUACGGCGACGGAAAGGUGAAAAGAACCUCGAAAGGGGGGUCAAAAAGCGCUCGAAAUCGUAGAGGGGGAAGCGGACCUGACCGACGAGACCUCGUCGUCGCUCGCGCUCGACCACGCUUCGUCGCGAGUUCCGAGGGCGUCGCCCCCGGACGCCGC